GAUGAACGCUGGCGGCGUGCCUAAUACAUGCAAGUCGAACGCACAGCGAAAGGUGCUUGCACCUUUCAAGUGAGUGGCGAACGGGUGAGUAACACGUGGACAACCUGCCUCAAGGCUGGGGAUAACAUUUGGAAACAGAUGCUAAUACCGAAUAAAACUUAGUGUCGCAUGACACAAAGUUAAAAGGCGCUUUGGCGUCACCUAGAGAUGGAUCCGCGGUGCAUUAGUUAGUUGGUGGGGUAAAGGCCUACCAAGACAAUGAUGCAUAGCCGGGGUGGGAGACUGAUCGGCCGCAUUGAGACUGGGACACGGCCCAAACUCAUACGGGAGGCUGCAGUAGGGAAUAUUCCUCAAUGGGCGAAAGCCUGAUGGAGCAACGCCGCGUGUGUGAUGAAGGCUUUCGGGUCGUAAAGCACUGUUGUAUGGGAAGAACAGCUAGAAUAGGGAAUGAUUUUAGUUUGACGGUACCAUACCAGAAAGGGACGGCUAAAUACGUGCCAGCAGCCGCGGUAA
rnacentral:rRNA from 1 species